GACAGAGGGGGCAAGCGUUGCUCGGAAUUACUGGGCGUAAAGCGCACGUAGGCGGCCGACUAAGUCGGGUGUGAAAGCCCUGGGCUCAACCCAGGAAGUGCACUCGAAACUGAUCGGCUUGAGUAUGGAAGAGGGUCGCGGAAUUCCCGGUGUAGAGGUGAAAUUCGUAGAUAUCGGGAGGAACACCAGUGGCGAAGGCGGCGACCUGGGCCAAUACUGACGCUGAGGUGCGAAAGCGUGGGGAGCAAACAGG
rnacentral:rRNA from 1 species